rnacentral:rRNA from 1 species
GCAUAUCAAUAAGCGGAGGAAAAGAAAAUAACAAUGAUUUCCCUAGUAACGGCGAGUGAAGAGGAAAGAGCUCAAAGUUGGAACCUGUUUGGCUUAGCUAAACCGGAUUGUAAACUGUAGAAGUGUUUUCCAGACACGCCUGGUAAAAAAGUCCUUUGGAACAGGGCAUCAUAGAGGGUGAGAAUCCCGUCUUUGGCCAGAGCUGUUGUCUUUUGUGAUACAUUUUCAAAGAGUCAGGUUGUUUGGGAAUGCAGCCUAAAUUGGGUGGUAAAUCUCACCUAAAGCUAAAUAUUUGCGAGAGACCGAUAGCGAACAAGUACCGUGAGGGAAAGAUGAAAAGAACUUUGAAAAGAGAGUUAAACAGUAUGUGAAAUUGUUAAAAGGGAACCGUUUGGAGCCAGACUGGCUUGACUGUAAUCAAUCUAGGCUUCGGCCUGGAUGCACUUGCGGUUUAUGCCUGCCAACGACAAUUUUUUUUGAGGGAAAAAACUAUUUGGAAUGUGGCCCCCCUCGGGGGGUGUUAUAGCCUUUUAGAAAAUACCUUGAAUUGGAUUGAGGAACGCAGUGAAUGCCUUUAGGCAAGAUUGCUGGGCGCUUUCGCUAAUAAAUGCUAGAAUUUCUGCUUCGGGUGGUGCUAGUGUUUAAAGGAGAAACUCGCUUGGUAUAUUUUUUAUUCGCUUAGGUUGUUGGCUUAAUGACUCUAAAUGACCCGUCUUGAAACACGGACCAAGGAGUCCACCAUUAGUGCGAGUAUUUGGGUGCCAAACCCAUAUGCGUAAGGAAACUGAUUGAUACGAAAUCUUUAAGAUGGCAGUAUCACCCGGCGAUGACGUUUUAUACUGAACCGACCGAGGUAAAGCACUAAUGAUGGGACCCGAAAGAUGGUGAACUAUGCCUGAAUAGGGUGAAGCCGGAGGAAACUCCGGUGGAGGCUCGUAGCGAUUCUGACGUGCAAAUCGAUCGUCAAAUUUGGGUAUAGGGGCGAAAGACUAAUCGAACCAUCUAGUAGCUGGUUCCUGCCGA